ensembl:lncRNA
CCAAACGAUAAAAGUCUGUGUUUAAUUCCCUCACUUUUUAAAGUGUGCUUCCAAAAGCUGCUUCCAGGUUUAAAUCUUUAAGUCUUAACGUUCUGCCCGUGUGUUUGGUACACGGGGAUUUAAAUAUGAACUAUCUCACCUCGUGGGAAAUGUGCUCGCUUUUCAUUUUGUUUGUGUCAGUCGUCUUUUCUCACGUUGCGGUUGGAAAUGGCUCAAAGAACGUUGUAUUCAUCCAUUUCUCUCCAGGUUCAAUUCGUAGUUCCUCAAGUGACAAAGUGGCUGGAAACAUGUCCUCCAAUCAGAGGAGAUCCCAGAGCUUCAGUCGAAGCGGUGCAGUUCCCACACGGUGCUACUGGCGACAUAAAGGCUGAAUGUCAUUUCCAAACCCCACAAGGGACUUUGUUUAACGAAGAACAGAUCUGCAGAUCUUUUCCGUGUCCAAACAAUUAAAGCAUAAGUUUGUCGUUCUAUUAAAUUAGUUCAGUCCUUCCAAAGUUUGAUGUUUUACAAAAUGCAUCGUUUAACUUUCCUACGCAACACAACGAUUCACACAUUUUAACGGCCUUCCCCCUCAAACACCGUUAUCAAUUUUUACGCAACGCUGCAUACUCUUUGCAAUGUGAAGGGAGGGUAUAAAACCGGCCAAAGGUCCCCCUCCAUGGUCACCCCCCCCGAGUGUAAUCUGACUGAGGGAGGGUCAGCGGGUUCCUGGGACGGUUUGCAGGUUCAAUGAGGUCACUCUUCUCAACCUGCCGGGUGAUUUUAACUACUAAUACCCAACCAAGUGCCUAAACCCUGCAAGGUCAGGGAGAGACAAACUGUGUGUCUGCACGCACACGCGUGGACACACAACACACACGAGGGCUGCGCAGGCUCCCUAAGUAUUUGGUUCCUCGAAAUCUCCCUGGUUAAGCAGAUAAAGGGUUGGUGGUCUGAUCCACUCCGGGUGGAGACAGCGUUGAAGCCGCUGGCCUGUGAGAACCACCUCACACCUUCUGCUCUUCUUCUGAUGGAACAACCGCGUCAACAGACGUUCGCCUUUUAAAAUGAAGGAGAGUGAGAGAAUCACGGAGAGCAGAUGAAAACGCUUCAAGAGAAGACGUUGAACGGAUUGAAGGGCAAUCUGGUGAGGAGAGGGAGGACCUUUCCUUCCCACACAGAGAAAGUCAUUGCUGACCCAGAGAAACACGACCAGUCCAGCAGAUCCUUGAGAAUAGAUCCUCAGAGCAGAUCCUUGAGAAUAGAUCCUCAUCGCAGAUCCUCAGAGCAGAUCCUUGAGAGCAGUUCCUCAGAGCAGAUCCUCAGAGCAGAUCCUCAGAGCAGAUCCUUGAGAGCAGUUCCUCAGAGCAGAUCCUCAGAGCAGAUCCUCAGAGCAGAUCCUUGAGAGCAGUUCCUCAGAGCAGAUCCUCAGAGCAGAUCCUCAGAGCAGAUCCUUGAGAGCAGUUCCUCAGAGCAGAUCCUCAGAGCAGAUCCUCAGAGCAGAUCCUUGAGAGCAGUUCCUCAGAGCAGAUCCUCAGAGCAGAUCCUUGAGAGCAGAUCUUUGAGAAUAGAUCCUGUAGAGCAGAUGUUUUUUCCCCGUGGGAGUGUUUUUGUUUUUUGGGGAGUUUUUCCUGGGCCGAUGUGGGUUUCGGGACAGAGGACGUCGCAUGUGCACAGACUGUAAAGACCUCUGUGGCAAAUUCGUAAUUUACGAUUUUGGGUUAUGCAAAAUGAAAUAAAAUGAAUUGAAUUGAAAUGAAUCCCUCAGAGCAGAUCUUCUUUACGAACAAAUCCAAACAUACAUGUGACCUGUAAAUUUGAUUAAUUAGUGCGUUAUACAAAACUAAACUGUAUGGCAUCAAUUAGGAAUGCAAAACACACAAUACAAUAAGCGAAAAACAGAUAUUGUUGAAGUUGAUUUUCAAACCCUCAGAGAUCUUUUAUCUUUUUUAGAGAAUCCAUUUGACUCAAUUCACUCACUUUUGGAUCGCGGGUAAUAUUUGGGAACCACUUUACUUUUAAUCCCGUCUGCAUGUGGAUUUACAGCCUCUUUCCUCUCCUUUGUUGUUGGACGUUGCAUUAAAGAAGAUCAAAGAGCAAAGAAGCCCAUCAAUCUCGCACACUUUCCCUCUGUGUCUCCUUUUAUUAGUUUCUUGUCUUUUACCAUCUCGGGCCGCUCCAAACACACAGCGCGCAGGUCGGGUGCGCUUGAUUUAUGCGACUUUGUUUCCGUCCAUGGCUCAUUUCCAUAAAUCACAUGACAGCGUGUUUGUAGCCAGAGGGACGUUAACAAGCGGCCGCAGUCCAAACACACAGCGCGCUGAAAAACAGAACAAGAAGUUAAAAAAGCCUCCCGAUACCCAGAGUGCCGAGCGGCUCCAUCCGUCAGCCCGGAGAGACGACUUGUUUUGUCAUCUGGAGAACGCUGUUGAAAGGAAGCCCACGUGUGUGUGCGUGUGUGUGUGUGUGUGUGCGUGCGUCCUCUACUUUCUCAAGUCGGACCACAUGGCGAGCUGGAGGAGGGGC